rnacentral:misc_RNA from 1 species
ACAGACGCGUAUCCGUCCUCCUUCCCUUUCCCAAAAGACGGACGAGGAAAGCCGCCGUCGCCACUCUCUCUCUGUGUACGCGUGCUGAACCUCUUACUCUAUGCGAACGAGAGACGCACUGGCGACGAAAAUGCCUCAAAAUGCGGCGCAGCUGAACCGGAUGCAGAUUCGUGAGCAGGAGGCGCUCAACCGGCAGCGCCGCAUGCAGGACGACGCGGUGGCACGGCGCGAGGAGGAGGAACUGCGGCGGACAAAGGCCCAAUACGACCACGUCAGCUCGCACGGCUACGGACGAGCUGGCAGUGGUGCCGCUGCGCCGAGUGGCAGCCGUGGCGCAUCCGACGAGGUGCAGAUUCGCGUGUACGUGCGGGAGUGCGACGAGGAGGCGAGCCGGUCCUUCAGCUACCGAGAGGAUACCGCUGCUAACUCCACCUCCCACACAGGUCCGCGUUCCGGUGCGUCUGCAUCCACGUCGGCCGCUUCGCAUGUCGCCAGACGUGGUGUCAACGGCGCGCUGCCACCGAUUGGCUCGUCGGGGCGUCUUGGGCCACCGCGCGCGCCAGGGGCCCGUGCGGCGUCCGGCGGUGGUGGCGGCACUUCGGACAUCUCAGGUGGUGCGGCAUCAUGUGGGGUGGUCGCACCGAACCGGGCACGGGUUCCUCGAUACCUGCAGCAACGCAAGGCAGAGCUGGCGGCAGAGAAGGAGGCGAUCGCCGCAGAGGCGGAGAAGCAGCGGCAACUUUCUCUCAUUCCUGCUGGCCAGCGCCGCGUUUCGGAGGAGGAGAAGGCAGACACCCUGCGCCAGCUGGACGAGCGGCAGCAGGAGCUGGAGGGACAGCUGGCCCGCAUUCCCAUCCGCUUCGACACGCAGUCGAUCCAGCAGCGGCGGCGCGCCAUCGAGGAGGAACUGCGGCAGAUCGAGACGACACGCAACAAGUACAACACCAAAGGGACUCUCUUCAUGCCGCUGUGCUAGCGCGCUCGCGACUAGCUCUGCUGCUGCGCGGUGGUGGCUGCUGAGGGGAUGGAGGAAGGGGUUGGGACGUGCUGGUAUGCGCUGCCUUUGCGAUAGAGUUAUAGAUUCAAAGAGCGAGAGACAGGCAGUUGCUUGCGUGAGGUCUGGAAAGGGGAUGAUGCGUGCACCCAUGCACACACACACACACACACACACACACACAUCGAUGCACGUAAUGGCGCGUGGAUUCCAUAUAGAGGGCGAGAGACAACGGGAAGGCAUUGGGGAGAGAACCACACGGCGUACCUCCGACAGCACCCCCUGCCUCUCUCCUCAUUGCUGUGUACGCCCACGGUCUCUUUCUCUUCUUUCAGUUUUUCCAGGGCCGGCGUGAGCAUGUAUGGGGAGGGAAGACCUGCACACGGAUGCACUGCUUCCGCCUCGUCUUUGUUUUUCAGUGUUGCCUGCUGUUCCAUGUCGUCUGCACAUGCUCUGCCAACCAGUAUGGCGGGUCGGAAGGCGCCACUGCUUCGUUGUCUCUGCUGUCUCUCUCUGUUCGCCUAUGUAUAUGUAUAUGUGUGCGUGUGUGCGCGUGUGCGUGUUUGUGAGAGUGGCUGCUGGCGUUGCUAUCCUCUGCUCCUUCCCGCUGCCUCCCUCGAUGUCCCCCCCCCCGACGCGCUCAUCCGCAUGCACGCACCCCUUCCACGCACUCGCUAGCGCGUCUCUCUCUCACACACGGGUGCCCGCGUGCUUUACAGCCAUCGCCCACUUUUGCGGAGGUGCCCACCCGUUAUCAUUGUCGUCUUCGUCGUUGUCAUGCUCCUGCACCACCUC